UACGUAGGGCGCAAGCGUUGUCCGGAAUUAUUGGGCGUAAAGAGCUCGUAGGCGGUUUGUCGCGUCUGUCGUGAAAUCCCUCGGCUUAACCGGGGAACUGCGCCCGAUACUGGUUGGCUUGAGUUUGGGAGAGGGAUGCGGAAUUCCAGGUGUAGCGGUGAAAUGCGUAGAUAUCUGGAGGAACACCGGUGGCGAAGGCGGCAUCCUGGACCAAUACUGACGCUGAGGAGCGAAAGCCAGGGGAGCAAACGGG
rnacentral:rRNA from 1 species